AUUGAACGCUGGCGGCAUGCUUUACACAUGCAAGUCGAACGGUAACAGGCCGCAAGGUGCUGACGAGUGGCGAACGGGUGAGUAAUGCAUCGGAACGUGCCCAGUCGUGGGGGAUAACGCAGCGAAAGCUGCGCUAAUACCGCAUACGACCUAUGGAUGAAAGCGGGGGACCGAAAGGCCUCGCGCGAUUGGAGCGGCCGAUGUCAGAUUAGGUAGUCGGUGGGGUAAAGGCUCACCAAGCCGACGAUCUGUAGCUGGUCUGAGAGGACGCCCAGCCACACUGGGACUGGGACACGGCCCAGACUCCUACGGGAGGCAGCAGUGGGGAAUUUUGGACAAUGGGCGCAAGCCUGAUCCAGCAAUGCCGCGUGCAGGAAGAAGGCCUUCGGGUUGUAAACUGCUUUUGUACGGAACGAAAAGGCUCUGGUUAAUACCUGGGGCUCAUGACGGUACCGUAAGAAUAAGCACCGGCUAACUACGUGCCAGCAGCCGCUGUAAGAC
rnacentral:rRNA from 1 species